UACUCUAACUCUAACCCUGUACCCAUCGUCGCGUCAUUCACCUGCACCUGGCCUGGUUUGCGGCAAAUCGCCACCGUCUCCGUCUCCCGCAGGAACCUUGCUCCUCGUGCCGCAGCCUCCACAUCGCCGUCUCCGCCGUCGUUUCACAGAGCAUUGCCUUCUCCUCGAUAGUGUACCUCGUGUCAUGAAGCUUUCGGAGCGAAUACGUAACCGGACUCGUACCUCGCCGCAGUUACCCAGCGGCGACAUAGUGCGCCGCCGUAAACGCCAAAGUCUGCCGCCACCUGGGAAUUCUAGCGGUCGCCAUCAUCGGUCAAAGCGGAUGAGACAUUCUGAGUCCGAUCAUUCGGGCUUAAACUGCGGAGUGUUUUCUAGGAGAUGGGUUUUCUCUUCCAAAGAUUGUUCUAAUUGCAUGGAUAAGGUUGUAGUUGUUUCAUACAAUAUACUUGGUGUUGAGAAUGCAUCUAGGCAUCUGGAUUUGUAUUCUAACAUUCCACGUAGUUUCUUAGCGUGGGACAGGCGGAAAAGUCUCAUACUUGAAGAAAUUAAUCAUUAUAAUGCAAGCAUACUGUGUUUCCAGGAGGUUGAUCAUUUUAAUGAUUUGGAUGGUCUUUUCCAGAACAAUGGCUUUAAAGGUGUUUACAAGGCUCGCACAGGGGGAGCACGUGAUGGUUGUGCUAUAUUUUGGAAAGACAAAUUAUUUAAUCUUUUGCAUCAAGAAGAUAUAGAGUUUCAGAGAUUUGGCCUGCGUAACAAUGUAGCUCAACUUUGUGUUUUUGAGGUAAACCGUGAUAGACCAGAAUCCGACACAUGUGAAUUAACAGCAGUGACGCCAUCUUCCGGUAAAAAAAGAUUUAUAGUAGGAAAUAUACAUGUGCUGUUCAACCCAAAUCGUGGCGACAUCAAACUGGGCCAGGUCAGACUCUUACUUGAUAAAGCCUACAAGUUGUCACAAGAAUGGGGCAACAUCCCUGUUAUUAUUGCUGGGGAUUUAAAUAGUCUUCCACAGAGUGCAAUAUAUAAGUUUGUGUCUUCAUCCAAGCUAGACAUCCAAUUUCAUAAUCGCAAAAACAUGUCAGGUCAGCUUGAAAUCCAGUCCAAUGAUAGGAUCUUCAGAUCAGAGAUUGGUGAUGAUGCUAGCAUUUCAGUGUCGGUUUCAAGGCAAUUGCUACACAAAUGGAAUGUAGAAGAACUAAGGCUUGCAACUGGUGCAGAAGGAGUCACUCAUCUUCAGCACCAUCUCAAGCUAUGCAGUGCUUAUAGUGGUGUUCCGGGAAACCAGAGAACAAGAGAUGAUAUUGGUGAGCCCUUGGCGACAUCAUACCACUCCAAGUUUAUGGGAACAGUUGAUUAUAUCUGGCAUUCUGAGGAACUUACUCCAGUUAGAGUUCUCGAAACCUUACCGAUUGAUAUUCUUAGAAGAACUAGAGGACUCCCUAAUGAGAAAUGGGGAAGCGAUCACCUCGCUGUUGUGUGUGAAUUGGCGUUCACAAACAAUGAUAAUUUGUCAUGAUUGCUUCAUCAGGACCUCUCUUGCUCUGAUAAUUCUUUUCAUAGUAAAGGGCUUCAUGAGACCGAACUGUGAAUUUCACCUAAUGAUUUGAAACAAACAUCAUGUUGCAACUGAUCUCAAGUUCUCCUUCCUAGUUGAAAUGUUUCUUGGAAGUGCUUUACAAUCCAUCAGGGUAUUUAACCAGAGCAAACCUGAUUUUUAACCACCGGUUAUCAGGUUCAAAGAACAGUUGGUCUAUAUCUAAAAUAUAUACAUGCUGAGAGUCAAAUUGAGUCCCAUUAUCAAUAAUCCUUUGGAGCCUUUUCACCAUAUCUGCAACACCUUCAGAUGUAUAUCCGUGGCAGAGGAAAUAUUGAAUACCUCAUCGAUUGGCGACCUAAGCCUGACACCAUUGAGGCAUUAACCCACAUCAUGCCUAAGGGGAUGUUGAAAACUCCACGGUGAUGACAUGUGGUGAAUUCCAUGUAGGAAGACACCAUCAACAAUUUGCUAUUCCACAACCACAAAAUUAAGGGAGAUAGCAUCCUAGAAAUGUUACUCUGACCUCUGAAAUAAAUUCGUAUUUAUGAACUCCCCUUUUCCGUAGCGAGAUAAGAACGUGACAAAAUACUUCCACCUUGAAGUGGGUAUAGCAAGACCUGGAUCUCUUCAGCACUUGAAAGUGGAAGUCAGUCGAGGAUGUUGAACAUCAUUAGCAAACAAUGGAAGAAGGAAGAAUAAUUAAGAGUUGAUCUAACUCUUUUUGAAGUGGGUAUGGCAAGUAUGUUGCUAGGGAAGAUCAAAGUUGAUCUAACUCUUUGAGACCAAUGCCUUUGUUGAAGAAGCAAUUGCCUUAAGAGUUCUACGAACUAGAAGAACUCCUCAAAUCUCUAGUGUGACCACUACGACAAACCAUAUCACACCCGAGAAAAGCAAAAUCCAUGGGAGACUGUCACAUCUAAAGGGUAGCAAAUUUGGUCCUAAAGCUCCAAGACCUUCCUUGCAGCUCGUGAGGUUGAGGAGACUCCUUUGACUUCUUAAAGAAAGUCUAUCAGGUCCAGAUGCAGUAUGAAGUUCACGGUCAAUCAUUGCAUUUUCAGGAUCAGAGUUCAGGGAAGAUGAGUCGCAGUGACAAGAGGAUGGAUGAUCGUCUAUUUUGUGUAUGCUUUCGAGAAUAAAGUAGAUCAGUGGUAUGAGUCCAUUUCUUGUGGUAGACUAAACAAUGCUCUUUAUAUAGAGGAAAUCGGGGGAGUCGACAGGGUGUCGUAGAUCAUUAAAGCUCUUAGAGUUGGUGAAUGUUUUUUUUUGUAUUAGUUAUUAUGUUUCCUUUCUUAGCUUUAGACAUUUUCAAGCAAUUCUUUACAUAAAUGUAUUCAUUCUUAACUUAGGAUGUGUUUCCUGAUUUUGUCAAUUACUUUUUGUAAUUCCCACUAAAAGAGGAACCGUGCAA